GACGGUUAGCUGGAUUUCCUUCUGUGCAUCGAAUGAACAAAUCAACAAGGAAUUUUAGAUUUUCCAAUUCAGCCUCAGGCCCUGCCACAUCUGAGCCAGACUGGGUAGCUGCAGGCUCAUUCAUUGAUACUAAUCUUUCCAGUUCAUCAGUUAAUGGUGGUCGUUUGCCCAUCUGAAGAAGGUCAUUGAUGUGGAAUUCAGAUAAGCCAGAGUAUGGAACUUGCAAAGUCAAUAAUUCCAAAAGCAGGCACCCAUAUGACCAAAUAUCCACUCCCAAACCAUAUAGGUUACGUUUAUACAUUGCCUGCAGAACCUCUGGAGCCAUCCAGCGAGGUGUUCCAACACAAACAUCAGGUGGUGGUAUUCCUCUAUGAGCAAUACAACAUGUAUGCAAGAAUGACCUAAGAGGUACAGCUCUGUCAAAAUCACAGAGUUUCACAACAGGCAUUGCAUCAGCUCUCUUACUGUCUAAAUCAAUCAAAAUAUUUUCACUUUUCACAUCGCGAUGAAUUAUGUGUUUCGAGUGCAGCUCUGCCAAUGCACAUGCAACAUCUCGAGCAAUACACAAAGCUAAAUCCACUGGUACAUGCUUCUCGCCAGUUUUUGACAUCUUCUCUAUGUAACUCUUUAAAGAUCCCCCCUUAACACGCUCCAUAAGAAUCAUAGACCGUAAUAUCUGGCGCUGCGGUUUUCCAUCUUCUGAAUGAACCCACUUUGAAGAUAUCUGAUG
rnacentral:misc_RNA from 1 species